rnacentral:rRNA from 1 species
GUAGUCAUAUGCUUGUCUCAAAGAUUAAGCCAUGCAUGUCUAAGUAUAAGCAAUUAUACCGUGAAACUGCGAAUGGCUCAUUAAAUCAGUUAUCGUUUAUUUGAUAAUACCUUACUACUUGGAUAACUGUGGUAAUUCUAGAGCUAAUACAUGCUGAAAAUCCCGACUUCGGAAGGGAUGUGUUUAUUAGAUAAAAAACCAAUGCCCUUCGGGGCUUUUUGGUGAUUCAUGAUAACUUUACGGAUCGCAUAGCCUUGCGCUGGCGACGGUUCAUUCAAAUUUCUGCCCUAUCAACUUACGAUGGUAGAGUAGUGGUCUACCAUGGUAUCAACGGGUAACGGGGAAU